UCAAGUACCUAUGGCGAUAUUGGGGAAAGACAGUCUGUUUCCUGGUGCUGCCACCAGGGGUCACUACGCUCACAACAGGACAUGAGUGGCACAUCAGGUCUGCAUACUGUUACUGUGUAUCAAGCCUGGCACCGGUACAGCCCACAUGACCCGAGUUUCUUAAACCUCAUCGAUGGACCGAGUCAUGUCAAUGAUAAUUAGCCAAUGACUUGUCAACGACUACCGAAAUUCGUAACUUUAAUAAAUCCCUGUCGAUGCGAGUUUUGGAGUUGUGUUCUUGCAUCUACAAUGUCAUUAUUCAUGGGCUGCUUCUAACUGAUGUUCAGAAGCCGUCAGCCAUCCCAACCUAAAGUAGUCACAACUCCCCUGUGAUAUGAUAUAGGUUGAUAUCUUUAUUACUUAUA